ACGCCCGCUCAGAAACGUUAAAGGAAUUGACGGGGGCCCGCACAAGCGGUGGAGUAUGUGGUUUAAUUCGAUGCAACGCGAAGAACCUUACCUGGUCUUGACAUCCCGGAGACCCUUAGGAAACUAGGGGGUGCUUCCAUCUGGAAGAAUCUGGAGACAGGUGCUGCAUGGCUGUCGUCAGCUCGUGUCGUGAGAUGUUGGGUUAAGUCCCGCAACGAGCGCAACCCUUGCCUUUAGUUGCCAGCAGUUCGGCUGGGCACUCUAAAGGGACUGCCGGUGUUAAACCGGAGGAAGGUGGGGAUGACGUCAAGUCCUCAUGGCCUUUAUGACCAGGGCUACACACGUACUACAAUGGCCGAUACAAAGGGCAGCGACACUGCGAGGUGAAGCCAAUCCCGUAAAAUCGGUCUCAGUCCGGAUUGGAGUCUGCAACUCGACUCCAUGAAGUUGGAAUCGCUAGUAAUCGUGGAUCAGCAUGCCACGGUGAAUACGUUCCCGGGCCUU
rnacentral:rRNA from 1 species